rnacentral:rRNA from 1 species
GUAGGGAAUAUUGGGCAAUGGAUGCAAGUCUGACCCAGCCAUCCCGCGUGCCGGAAGAAGGCCCUCAGGGUUGUAAACGGCUUUUGACGGUGAAGAAUCGACAGGAUGCGUCCUGUUUUGACGGUAGCCGUUGAAUAAGCACCGGCUAACUCCGUGCCAGCAGCCGCGGUAAUACGGAGGGUGCGAGCGUUGUCCGGAUUUAUUGGGUUUAAAGGGUGCGUAGGCUGGAAGGUCAGUCAGCGGUGAAAAGCUGUCGCUUAACGAUAGUCUUGCUGCAGAUACUUCCUUUCUUGGGUGAGGAGGAGGCCACUGGAACGGAUGGUGUAGCGGUGAAAUGCAUAGAUAUCAUCCAGAACACCGAUUGCGAAGGCAGGUGGCUGUACCUUAAUCGACGCUGAUGCACGAAAGCAUGGGGAGCAAACAGGAUUAGAAACCCGGGUAGUCC